rnacentral:rRNA from 1 species
CAGUCGCCACGGUAAUACGGAGGAUCCAAGCGUUAUCCGGAAUCAUUGGGUUUAAAGGGUCCGUAGGCGGUCUUGUAAGUCAGUGGUGAAAGUCCAUCGCUCAACGGUGGAACGGCCAUUGAUACUGCAGGACUUGAAUUAUUGGGAAGUAACUAGAAUAUGUAGUGUAGCGGUGAAAUGCUUAGAGAUUACAUGGAAUACCAAUUGCGAAGGCAGGUUACUACCAAUUGAUUGACGCUGAUGGACGAAAGCGUGGGUAGCGAACAGGAUUAGAUACCCCUGUAGUCCCUGUCUCUUAUAC